rnacentral:rRNA from 1 species
AUGGCCUGCUUUAAACUCCCGAGAGGGCUGUGUGACCAUAUUAAUAAAAUCAUUCGGAAGUUCUGGUGGGGAUGCAAGAAUGGUCAGAGGAAAACAGCAUGGGUCUCGUGGAGAACUAUGUCAAAACCAAAAUUCAUGGGUGGUUUGGGAUUUAGAGACAUGGAGCUUUUCAAUCUAGCCCUGCUUGCGCGGCAAGUAUGGAGGCUACUGCAUGACCCUGGUUCGUUAAGUGCUCGUGUUCUCAAAGCGAAGUACUUCCGUGAAGGGUAUCUGAUGGAAGCAAAACUAGGUCCUGCGCCCUCCCAAGUCUGGCGCUCCCUCUUGGAGGGGCGAGAUGUUCUUGCUCUGGGACUCAUUAAGAGAAUUGGGUCGGGCCAAGACACUAAUAUCUGGCACGAUAAUUGGAUGCCG